GCCGGUUUAGCUCAGGGGUAGAGCAACUGAUUUGUAAUCAGUGGGUCGGGGGUUCAAAUCCCUCUUCCGGCACCA
rnacentral:tRNA from 1 species